AAAGAGAAAGGCACUACUCCAAGAAGCGAAAAGGGUUUUAUGUUGAGAUUUCAACAAAAAUCUCAUCAAAAAGCAGAUUUGACAUCAUAUCUUGUGUUUAUUCCCAAGAUUAAAUCUUCAGCAUAUCCACACACUCCCCCCUGACGCGGAUCACAGACUAUUAUGAACUCGUUCUUCCAGAUUGAUGUUCCUUAUAUCUGCCCGAAUAGGAGUGCCACAAAAGGAGGGUCAAGGGCUUCACCGGUUAACCGCUUUGACGAGGUACCCUAUAAUGCCUCUUGCCUGGGAGAAAGAACCUUUCACCUCAUCUCAGUGUCAAAAUUUAACCUUUCUCAACUUUAAUUACACUAAGUAAGUUUGGAGUGUGCCGCGGUGCUGUCUGCACGACUCAGCUCCAUCCU
rnacentral:lncRNA from 1 species